GCAAGUCGAGCGGGGGAGGUAGCUUGCUACUGGACCUAGCGGCGGACGGGUGAGUAAUGCUUAGGAAUCUGCCUAUUAGUGGGGGACAACAUUCCGAAAGGAAUGCUAAUACCGCAUACGUCCUACGGGAGAAAGCAGGGGACCUUCGGGCCUUGCGCUAAUAGAUGAGCCUAAGUCGGAUUAGCUAGUUGGUGGGGUAAAGGCCUACCAAGGCGACGAUCUGUAGCGGGUCUGAAGGAUGAUCCGCCACACUGGGACUGAGACACGGCCCAGACUCCUACGGGAGGCAGCAGUGGGGAAUAUUGGACAAUGGGGGGAACCCUGAUCCAGCCAUGCCGCGUGUGUGAAGAAGGCCUUAUGGUUGUAAAGCACUUUAAGCGAGGAGGAGGCUACUAGUAUUAAUACUACUGGAUAGUGGACGUUACUCGCACAAUAAGCACCGGCUAACUCUGUGCCAGCAGCCGCGGUAAUACAGAGGGUGCGAGCGUUAAUCGGAUUUACUGGGCGUAAAGCGUGCGUAGGCGGCCAUUUAAGUCACAUGUGAAAUCCCCGAGCUUAACUUGGGAAUUGCAUUCGAUACUGGAUGGCUAGAGUAUGGGAGAGGAUGGUAGAAUUCCACGUGUAGCGGUGAAAUGCGUAGAGAUCUGGAGGAAUACCGAUGGCGAAAGCAGCCAUCUGGCCUAAUACUGACGCUGAGGUACGAAAGCAUGGGGAGCAAAACAGGAUUAGAUACCCUGGUUAGUCCAUGCCGUAAACGAUGUCUACUAGCCGUUGGCGCCUU
rnacentral:rRNA from 1 species